UACGUAGGGUGCAAGCGUUGUCCGGAAUUAUUGGGCGUAAAGAGCUCGUAGGCGGUUUGUUGCGUCGGCUGUGAAAUCCCGAGGCUCAACCUCGGGUCUGCAGUCGAUACGAGCAAACUAGAGUGUUGCAGGGGAGACUGGAAUUCCUGGUGUAGCGGUGAAAUGCGCAGAUAUCAGGAGGAACACCGGUGGCGAAGGCGGUUCUCUGGGCAUUACCUGACGGCUGAGGAGCGAAAGUGUGGGGAGCGAACAGG
rnacentral:rRNA from 1 species